CUUGGUCAUUUAGAGGAAGUAAAAGUCGUAACAAGGUCUCCGUUGGUGAACCAGCGGAGGGAUCAUUACCGAGUUUACAACUCCCAAACCCCUGUGAACAUACCUAUACGUUGCCUCGGCGGAUCAGCCCGCGCCCUGUAAAACGGGACGGCCCGCCCGAGGACCCUAAACUCUGUUUUUAGUGGAACUUCUGAGUAAAACAAACAAAUAAAUCAAAACUUUCAACAACGGAUCUCUUGGUUCUGGCAUCGAUGAAGAACGCAGCAAAAUGCGAUAAGUAAUGUGAAUUGCAGAAUUCAGUGAAUCAUCGAAUCUUUGAACGCACAUUGCGCCCGCCAGUAUUCUGGCGGGCAUGCCUGUUCGAGCGUCAUUUCAACCCUCAAGCUCAGCUUGGUGUUGGGACUCGCGGUAACCCGCGUUCCCCAAAUCGAUUGGCGGUCACGUCGAGCUUCCAUAGCGUAGUAAUCAUACACCUCGUUACUGGUAAUCGUCGCGGCCACGCCGUAAAACCCCAACUUCUGAAUGUUGACCUCGGAUCAGGUAGGAAUAUCCGCUGAACUUAAGCAUA
rnacentral:rRNA from 1 species